AUGUCGGACAGAAGCGAUGGAAAGAUGGCGGCGGCCCUGGUCCAGAUGACUUGUAUGUACAGAGGAAUGAUAGCCGUCAAGGCGACUGGUAUCAGGCCGCUGAUUCCUGGGCUGGUCACCCCGAGGUUUCGAGCCUUCUCGGUGCGGAAGGAAGAAAACUUGGAGGACAAUCCUUUCUACCGGAAGUACCAGGACAAGAUUCAGAACAUGCGCAGUUCCAACCCUCAAGAGAUGAAGGCACGGCUGGAAAAACGACGCGAGGCAAAAAAGGAAGUGCUCGGACACUCCAAGCAAGCAGAGUUUGUGAGGCUCAUGGAGCAGGAGUUUGAUAAGCGAAACAAGACUGCAGCCAGUGGUGAAACAUCAGGGGGUUUCACCAAAAACAAGAUGCUGGGCUCCAUCCUCAACCUGGAGAUGAUCCAGGACAAGACUGGUGAAGAGAUUGCAGAGCUUUGGAUGAAAUAUUACUCCACCAAGGACACGAUCAGCGCUGUCAUCCCAAACGAGACAUACGAUGUGAUUCACACGCGAGCCAAGUCUUGCCCCAUGUUCCUGUUUGCAUUGCCACAGAAGGAGGGCUACGAGUUCUUCGUGGGCCAGUGGUCCGGCCAUGAGCUCCAUUUCACCUCACUCAUCAACAUCCAGACGUUGGGUGAGAACGCUCCCAGCCAGCUGAUCCUAUACCACUACCCAGACCUGAAGGAGAAGGGUAUAGUGCUCAUGACCGCAGAGUUGGAUCCAAAGUUUAUUACGGUCCACCAGGCCCAGUGCUUGGCCAAUCAGGUGCAGCUCUUCUAUGGCACGCAGAGGCAGGAGACGCACCGACUGGUGGAGACCUUUAACCACCACCCUGCCCAGUUUAAGCACAUGUCUGUGAUAGCGGAGCUGGAACAGAGUGGCCUCAGCCCCGCACUGAAGGACUGAGAUGAACUGCAGCAUCAUGAAGUCCAGGUACUACAAGAAAAACGUGUUUGUUUUCAAAGGGUUACUUCAAGUGGAGUGCCUAAAUCCAGCAAAUGAACUGAAGGAGCAGCGGCAGCUUUUCACGUACACAACACACUGUUUGGACUCAUUGUAUUGGACACUACAAUGCUUCACUUUGUCCACAUUUUGUUAUUUAACAGCUUUAUUCCAACAUGGAAUACAUUUUCCCUCAAACUUCUACACACAGCACCCCAUAUUAAAAAAGGCUUUUUUUAAAAAAAAAAAACGUUUGCAGACCUAUAAAAACCCAAGAAAUUACACGUGCAUAAAUACUCACAGCCCUUGCUCAAUACUUUUGGUGAACUGUGGUACCUUAUGUAUGGGUCCUUCCAAAAUGUUGUCCAAUCAAUUGAAUUAACAGGUGGACUCCAACGAAGCUGUUGAAACAGGAUGCACCUAAGCUCUAUUUUCUGCUCAUUGGCAAAGGCUGUGAAUACUUCUACAUGUGAUUUAAUUAUUUUUUUUUACCAAUAAGGUUUAAAAAAAAAAAAAAAAAAAGGCCUUGCCUUACCAGUUUGGCUUGUGUUCCCAUGUUGUGUGUAGAAUUUUGAGGGGGGAAAACAUUGAAUCCAUUUUGCAAUAAGGGUGUAACACAACAAAAUGUGGAAAAAGGGAAGCGCUUUAGAAUGAGCUUUUAUUGUUUGAUAUAAGAAAACAUCCAACAGAGGAUGUAAAGAUUUCACAGUUUAAAAAAAAAACAAACAAAAAAAGCAGAACACUGGUUUUGAAAAUAUGCAAAAAGAAAAAUACAAUUUUCAGCAAACGACAAACUUGCCCCCUCUAGCAUCCUAGGAUUAUUACUCUGAUUACUACUGACUAAUACUAGGCUGGACUUCAACUGAAGCAUAGUUGUUUUCCCUCCAAAUUCAAACAUUAAAAUAAAACAUGUUUUCACUAUCAUUGUUCUGAAGGUUCUUAUUGGUUGUUUACUUCAAAGGCAGGACUUGACAGCCUUUUUUUUCCAGCAUAAAAACAUGACUAAAGAAAGUAAACUAAACUGAAGCUUAUCUUCCAUUCCCAGGAAGAUAACAUGAUCAUAUUAUAUUUCCAUAUUACAACAUAAGAAUAAUUACUUUGUGACAUCGGUACACUACAAUUAUUUUGUUUUCCUCGCUAUGCAGCACAGUACCAUACAAACACGAUGGCUGUGCCUCAAAUGGCGUGUACCGUGUGCAUGCUGUGCCAGUGUAGUGUUGUCCCAAAUCCAUUACGGACGUUUGCACACUUAACCGAAAUGACCAUCGCAAUAUUACCGCUCUUCUUCUCUCCUUUUUAAUUGGGAAUUGCAAUCACUUGUGUUAGUCCGUCCCCUUCUGCAACGUAGCCAAGAUGGUAAGUGUCCAUCAAGUGCAGACAUCCGGGUACUUGUCAGUGUGAAGGCACUUAUGCACUCAAGUGUAAGUAUGCAAGUGCUCCAGUUGAGACAUAGCUUGGUCGACUUUGUGAGUUUACAAAUGUAGAGUAUUGCAGUCAUUCCCACUGGACUGCAGUGUUUGUUGCUGAGUUGCCAGUGAGUGCUUUUAGGUGGGGUAAGGAUCUAGAGGGGUUUGAUUACUCAUUACACAUUGAGACAAAACAGCCUCUUAUUCUCUGGCAGACCAGGUGUGUAUAAUGUGUUUUGUGGGGGGCCGCCGUAAAUAAAUGAAAGUAUGGGCAAAAACUGUUGGUAGACCUUUUUGUUUGUGGGGGAAAAAAAAAGUUCACAUGUUAAUACAUGCCCUCCGUGUCUCUGAGGCUUCCAAAAGACAAACUGAAAGUGCAUCCCAGUCUCUUAGAGGUCCCGUUGCCUUCCCUCUUCUUCUUCCUGUUCCAGUUUAGCAAGGAGGCGGAGCUCUGUCCUUUAGCCACGCUCCAAGCCCUCUGCCGAGAGUUCUCUUUAUCAGUGCUGUGAGUUGCCAUAAAGGCCCUUUUUGCAACCUGUUCUCACACACACACACACACACACACACACACACAAAUUGUUAGCUUCCUUUGUUGCGAAUGAACAAUGGCAAUUAAAGAGAGACAGGGUAGGUCAGUUGGAGCUGACUCAUAAUGAAUUAAAUUGUUAAAAUAAUCUAAAUAUAUAAUAAAACAAAUUGUAUAAUAACAUUAAACCAAUAAGUUAACAGUUAUUGCAAAUAUUGAUCCCAAAUCAGCGGAGAACGUCAAGCUAGCAGGAGGGUUUGGAGACGGAGUAGUGAGCCUGUGUAGUGUACGGUGGUGCCUCGAUGCAGCAGCAUAAUCCAGGCUUUCUAAAGCCUAGGUCACAACCACCCGUGCCUUUUUUGGGCCAUGUGAUUUCGCUUCGGUUUUUUUGUUUCAUGGAGAAUAUAAUUGAGGUGACCACGAAGGAGUAAGAUCCUGACAUGCAUGGAGGACGUACAAAAUAUCUGGAUGUGCGUCAGCUGCACGAAUGACGUAUUUGGGGUGCACGUUGUGCCACAUGAGACAUUUUGCCCAAACCUGACACCAGGAAAAACGUACCAAAGACAUACGUUGGCGUACGAAGUGUGUACGUUUGUCUAACCUACAAAAAACAUAAGCACCCGUCAAGUUUGUUUGACAUGACAAAGAACCUUUGCAGUCAGUCUACGACUCGAAUAUUGGCACGUCAGACGCGCGCUCUCUGUGCGUUUUUUUUUUUUUUUGCACGUGGACCGUCCGUAGGAACCCGUAAGACUGAUUGUGACCAAGACUUUAGGGGCGAGCCACUCUGAAAAGUUUUCAGGUCAAUACGGCAAAGUGUUUUAUAAGUAUACAAUUUUUAGCUUUGAUGACAAGCCAACAUAAUGUGAAUAUUCCGACUGACAUGACUGGCCGCAGUAGACAUUCUCCUGAUAUUUUGUUGUCUUAUAGUCCAAAAUAACUUGCACAAGUUAUUCCACUUCAUUGUAAGUUUAGGCGAGCCUUGGGAAGCAGAAAACUGACUUAUGCGCAUUCAUUCUUUGUUCUACUGUAUAGUUUGGUGUGUCACAUGGUUCAGUCUGUGUGGCUGCUUACAGCGCCACACGCAGGUGUGCCUUGUGUAUUACGUCCUUUUCACCCAGUGAUCCGUUCCUCUCUGCAUGCAAUUUGCUAAUCCGGCACAGUGCGGAUGCUGAAUGACGCUGAAAUUGGCUUCCCAUUCGCCAUUUAAAAAGGUGGAACUGAAGUAAUGAGCAGUGCGAGUGUUUGUCCUGGUGUUUUUUGUGACACUUCUUAAUGUGAAAACAUUUUAGCAUUGCUUUUACCUGACGCACACUGUUGUAUUUGUGAAAAUGCAAUAAAAGGUACAUUUUUCUAUGUUUUCAGCCGUUAAACCAUAUUAGACCUGGUCCACUUUGAAAACCACCACGGCUAGACUUCUCAAAUCUGGACUGGAAUAAUCUACAGAUUCCAAUGAUUCAUAAAAACACAGUUUGUGAUUUGUGAAACCUUUAUUCUAUUUGUGAAAACGCAAUGAAAAAAAGGGUACAUUUUUCAGUAUUUUCAGCCAUACUGCACGAGGGUUAAGCUAUAUUAGACCAGGGCCACUUUGAAAAAUAGAAUAAAUGUUUCACAAAUAAACCUUUGUCGUCUCUUUAUUAAUCCAGUCCAGAUUUGAAAAGUCUAGGAUUACCAGUUUUCGAAGUGGACCAGGUCUAAUAUGGACUAGGUGCUAAAAAAAAAAAAAAAAAAAAAAAAGGGUCUAAAUGUGCCUUUAUUGCAUUUUCACAAAUCAAAUGAAAGUUUUACAAAUACAGUAGUAUGCAUCAGGUAAAGGCAAUGUCUAAAAUGUUUUCACUGUUCAAUGUUUUUUUUUUUUAAAAGAAGUGUCACAAAAAACACCAUCAGGACAAACACCCGCACUGCUCAUUACGUCAGGUCCACUUUAAAUUCCCCCUUAAGUGGCGAAUCGGAAGCCAACUUAAGCGUAUUUUAUAGAUUGCUCUACACGUACUCGCAUCAUACCAUAAAAGAUGACAAAUGAACAACUUACUUGAGCAUCGUGUAAAUGGAAGGUAACCACGCUAAGCUCCACCCCUUUGUCGCUGCAGUUCUUCAGCAUGUUCACCACUUCACCGUGUUUGGCCCACUUACAGUCCCGGCCAUCCACAGCCACGAUGUAGUCUCCUUCCUUCAGGCCUGCAUCCUUGACAAGCAAGUGAAUACACAUCAUUAUUUUGAUUGCACAAAUAGUUGAGGACUUACGGUAGUUUAAAAAUUGCAUUGCAAAUCCUGUCACCUUAUUUAUUUUGAGAAACAUGGUGCAGUGCUGAAAAGGUUAUAUCUUACCGCCGCACAGCCCCCUGGGACCACCCCAGCCACCAACACAGGGGAGUCUCCUCUGAGUGUGAGUCCUAAUCCACCUUCUUUCCUCUGGAGGCAAAUCAGACGAGCCGGGCCCCAGCGAGCCCGAGCGCAGAACACUGACAAAGGCCCCUGAAGCACAAGGAAAUGUGCAAUUACUACAAAAGUCACUGGCCGAGGAAACACUGCAGGUACUGAUCACUCGCCAGUCUUUGGAAGAUAUCUGUGGCUUGGACGGUGGAGAAGUUGGCUGGAAUGAUGUCUGGCUUCUGAUGGCUUUGAGCUGGCAGCACAAGAAGCCACACACCAUUAAAUGAUGUAGAAAAUAUUCCUGGUUCGAGUCUCGCUUUAGACUUACACUGUAUCUCCGGAGCCUCUGCAAUUUCAUCAAAGUCAUCCUCCCGGUCCAUUUCAGAGUACUUGUCCAAAGAACGCUUGUGUGCUACUGAUAGGAUGUCCUGCAAGAUGUCCAUCUUCCUUAAGAUCUUACAGAGACCGUGGACCCGCAUGGCCUCCUCAUGUCUCAUCACUGCAAGGCGCAAGUGGGCUUUCCCUUUAAUACAACACAAAUAACAAACACAAAUUAUCUUGUACACAGUGAGUGCCAUCAUUUCAUCAUAUAUUAUAUACAUUUUUGUUAAAGUACUCCAUAUGCACCCAAAUUUGUAGAUUUGAUAAAAGGUUUUAUAUUCAUAAAUCUUCAUAUCUAGGCCUUUAUAUGCAGUGAAUCAGCUUGAUAUUUACACCCUUACUCACACAUCACAAAUCAACAGGAGCUGAUCAACCCGAAUACCUUCCUCAUUCACGGUGCAUCCAAAAAUAACAUAUGGGCAUCGAAAUAGACACUAAUAUACAUGCAACUCAUUUCUCCCCAUUUACUGCCGUCAUUCCAUCUCGCGAUGGUUGUGUCAUUUGGUCACGUGGUGCGGCGCGACCAAUCGCGCACCGGUUGAAUAUGUCGUCUCUUCGGUAUUUGUAGCAGUGCCGAAAGAUCACACACACGAGUGAGCUUACAGAUCGGUUCAAACUCCUUUUCAACAUCUAUUGUACAACUCUGCUUUUAAUGGCCAGGUAUUCCAUGAUGGUGAGCUACUGGAGCAGGCCGAGCGCCACAGAAUGGAGCCCACAAGACGAUUGAACCAUACCACUCCUGCCGGCUGGUAGGGGGGCUCUCUUUUACAGCCCACAAACUUUUUCCCAUGCAACCUCUCUGCCCACAACAUUGCCACACACACACACACACACACACACUAUCCCUUGACCCCUUCUGAAUAACAAUUGUAAACCCAGACGUGGUUUCAUUCAAAAUCUAUGAACUGUGGGUGGGUUGGUGCACUAUUGUAUUUUUUCCGCUUGUUCUAAUAUAUUGCACCUAAAUGCCCACUCCCUCCCUGAGCUGAACUGUAUCAAUUUAUGUAAACAGGUGUAACAUAUGGUUGCACCGUGAAGGAGGGAGGCGUUGGUCCUGUUUUGUGUCAAAACACACGUUUAUGGGUGUCUCAGUCAUGUAUUUUUUUUCCCUUGGUUGAGUUGUAAUAGUCAAUGACAAUUAACUAUUAAUUAGUGAACUCACCAAGCUUGCGUCUUUCUUCUGGGUCUCUUAAAAGCCGGUGUAGAGGCGGCCCUGCAGGCAUGCUGACGUAGAACUGGAGAAAGGCCUUUUGUGCCUCCUCUUCACAGUUGAUGUCUUCUUCAGACACUACAUCAGCAUUAAAAUACAACAUCAAUGCAAAUAUUUUUCCUUAUAGGAAAAAGUUAGUCAUUAGCAUUAUUAAUCCAUCAAAACCCACCAAAACGCAAUCAAAACUAAACACUUUGGUUCACAAGUUGACGUAUUCAAAGAGUAACUUGAUGGUGAUCAGUAAGAAUGUCAGUGUGUGGGCGGGUGCUACUUACACAUUUGGUCACAGAGUGCGACGGCAGCAAAGUAGUGUGAGAGCGCCCGGAAGUGUUCCGACUUGACCUGCACCAUGGACGCCCAUGAAAAAGGCACAUAGUCCUUCAUCAGCGGCUGCGACACGGCCUGCUGCACCAACACGUAGCAGUCGGACACCUGCAGGACGAACGUGCAUGCGCAGUGAGGUUACUCAAGUUCCACAAGAGAAACCGACGCUCACCUGAGGACGUGCGCUCACCCGUGCAGCCUCCUGCGCCAGGCACAGCAGAUAAAUGAAGUGCGUGUCCUGCGCGGUGAGUACAGUACGCUCAAAGACGCACUCCUGCAGCUGGGCCACCAUGAGCCGCACCAGCAUGCACAGCGACGGUCCGCUCAUGUCUAGACUCGGUGCGUUGGAGAAGUUCUCUUUCAGGUAACUAAAUGUACCUUGGUUAAGCGAAGGAAAUGGACGGGCAUAAAAUACAGUGAUCAAUCAUUCAUUCCGCAUUUGCAAAUAUUGCAUUAAAGACUAAUUGUAUUCCGCAAGGUGAAUUGUCAAAUCAUCUCACACUGUACAAAGAAUAGGAUUUAAGAAUAUUUAAUCAGCUGUUUGUGUGUAUAAUGAAAUGAAAGUACAGUAAUCCCUGCCUACUUCACACUUUGAAUUUUGCAGCUUCACCAUCACAGGUUUUCAAAAAUAAAUCACUGCUGCCGUGGUUUAAAAAAACAUAUAAGACAUUCAGAAGACGCACUGAAAGAUGUGAUAUGUAGUAUUCUACACUGGUCACUAGGUGACAGUAAUGCUACAUUGAUGAGACAAUACUCAGGAAGUACUGGAAGUAAAUAAGAACUCUGCCAAUGCUAACGUGAGUCUUACCAGGGGUGUCCAAUUUAGCGCCUGCUGCUGUUUUCUAAAAAUAUAAUUUAAUAAAACUAAAAACAAUAAAAAGAAAAUAGAAGUUGUAAUCUAAUGAAGUUGUAAUUUUACAAGAAUAAUGUAAUGAGGUCAUUUUAGUAGCAUAAAGUUGAACUAUACAAAAAGUGUUUGUUUUUUUUAAGUAAUAUUAAGUAAGUAAUAUUCUGUAAUUAAGUAAUUUUGGGGAAAUUAAUUUGCGGAAUAUGUUUUAAGAAUAAAGUCAUUAUUAUGAGAUUUACCUAAGAAAAAAACCCAGCAAAAAGGGGUGAGGGAGCAAAGACCAAAGUUGAUAGUAAUAAUAGGACUUUUUAACCGAUAUGACAUACCUGACAUACAGUUUGUUGCUUUACAAAAUACCAAAGCGGCAAAUUUGCAUCCUUUCAUUUUUCACUAUGUGGCUCUCACUGGAAAAACUGGACAACCCUGGUCUUUAUUGUUUAUGUCUUAUAUGGCUUAUUUUCUCAUGUCUACUGUACUACAUUGGGUAAUAAGAGUGUAAACCUGACUACACUGAUGUUAUGUCAUAGCUGAGGGCUCUAAUAAUUAAAGAAACUUAUUUAGCAGGUCGUAAACAGCUUUUCCAUAUUAACUACCAAAGUAUUUGAUUUAUAAACCAAUUAACCGCGAUAAACAAGGGAGUACUGCACAGUGGAACACGUUUAAGUCGAUACGCUUUGACCGGCUGACUCAUGUUGUUGACAUAAGCAAAACUAGCCAUUGCUUGUACAUUUACAUGAAGAAUUGUCACGCUGCUUAGUGAUGAUGAGGUUUACAAUACUACAACAUGUGUUGACAGAUACUCACCCAUUUUUCAUAGAAAUGAUCUAAUUUUAUGUUGACGUCGGCUUAAACGGGCACUUUAUAGUACUAGGAAAAGGCUUCCAUGUAGUGGUGUAUUCAUGGGUGUUGUGUGUCGGUACCUGCAGCUCUCUGAAAAGCCUCAAUAGCUCGGUCUAUCCCAGGGGCGGUGGAACGAUCUUGCCGCGCACCGAUUUGCGUGUACAAAGCGCCGAUGUUGAACACCACACUUCCCUUCUCGAAGGCUAAAGCUCGCUGACAGGAUGGAACGCCGGUCAGAGAGUCGUACCUGAGACACAAUGGAGAGCGAAGAACUUCACAAAGCAGGUUUUAAGGUCAUGGACCACCAAUUGUCAAGCUUGGUGACGUCAAGGUAAAGCGAUGUGAGAAAACAACACUGAGGAGGUGGUCUCCAGAAGCUGAGGACUGCUAUGAGUUCACAUACUGGAACACCAGGAUCAUACAAGAACAUCAAGGGACUAAAGCCUGCAUUGUGCUUCUGUGUCGAGGCCCUUGCGCCGCCCCCUCUAAACCUUCCUGCACCAAAAAAAAAGUAACCUUGCAUGGAAAGCUGGUUGUGUCUUACCAGUGGAAGUGCACACCCAGGGUGCGAUGUGGGGGAAAGAAGCGUUGAUCCACGUAGUAGAGUUGGUUGUAGUAUUCCAUCAGCAACUCCAAGCCAGUCUGAUUACGACUGGGCGUGCGCAUGGCCUAAACCAAAGCGACAAUAUGGCAUUAUUUUAGAAGAGCCUCAAUACUGGCUUUAGUUGAGGUGUCUUAAAUGUAAAUGUCUUCAAUAACUUAUUACUGUAUGCCUGAAGAUAGACAAGAAGCAACAAUAUAUUUAAUAGAACAUAUGCAACUAGGCCUGUCACGAUAAUCGAUAAAUUGAACGAUUAAAGAACAAAAAAACAACAAAAAAAAAACAGAUUGAUAAUUAUGGCGGGAUCUACAAAUAGGGGUGCCUUGGGCAGCGGAGCCUUCGUCCCGACAGUCAAUGCUUACUGUUUGGUCAGCAAUGUAAAUAUAAACAAAACAGUGCUAAAUGGUGCGUGCUCGUAGACAGUGUUGCUCGCUAUAUUGCAAAACAAAUGCAACCAUUCAAUACAGUUCUAUGUGGCAUACAUUUUAGACAUGCAGUAUAUACAGGCAGCAUCUGUGUCAAGCUAAUGUGGCUCACACAGGUACACUAUACUUGACUGCCAUCUAGAGAAUUACAUCUGCUUACAAUAAUUAAUAAAAAAAUGGUCUCCAAAAAUAAUUGAUAUUGAUUGGACGAUAAUUUAGGCUCCAGCAUGCCCCCGCGACCCUAAUGAGGAUGAAGCGGUAUAGAAAAUGGAUGGAUGGGUGGAUAGACGAUAAUUUGUUGCACAAUUAUCGACCAGCUAAAUUAGUUAUGGUGACGGGCCUAUACACAACCAUUUGACAUGGAUAGAUAAGUUAUAGGAACCUGUCUGAGCUCCAUAAGCUCUUUUAUCUCUUCGUUGUAGAGCAAGCCGUCCUCUCCGUAGUGCUCACUGAUGAAGUCCUGGAAGAAACACACACAGUGAGGGACUGCUGCUCUCCAGGUACGCAAUUUCUCAGGUCAGGUGUCUAAAACAUAGUUUACACUCCUGUGUCGAGGCUACACCGGCUCACACCUCCCCCUGCAAACCCUCGUAUGUAGCGUGAAGCGCACCUCCAUAAAAAUGUAACCUCACGGCCUGUAAAAGCUGCAAUUAGUCAGCUUGUCGUACAUUAUAUUGUGUGCGUGUGUUUGUGUGUGUGAAUGUGUGUUCAGAGGGCGUAUAGCCCACCUCUGCGAACACCUCCCCUGCCGAUUUCGGAUCAACAUUUGCAAUAAAAGCUGCAAUAACACUCCCCUUUUCUCUUGAAUUCCCAUCGUUCACACGCCCUCAACCAUGACGAAGAGCAAAAAAGCAGGGGUGUCCAACGUGUGGCCCAGGGGCCAUUUGUGGCCUGUGGCACAUUGUAGAAAUAAAUGUAAACAAAAAUGGGAAGAAUAGAGCAAAAGGUAAAAUGUAACGAGAAAAAGCUGAAAUGUUGAUUCUAAUAACUACUGUAAAACACAAAGCCUUGUCUUUAUAAAUAUAUAAAGGAAAUACUUGUAAGCCUUUUUACCAAAUGAAAUAGAAAAAUAUCGAGGGUUGGGGUCGAGGACUUACUAAGAUUCUCUCAUACAUAUGAACCGUGAUGGUGCCGCACCGCUAAGCCCCUACUGUAUACGGUAUGGAACCCUUUUCCCAAACAUGCCAUUUUAUUGAAUGAAUGUAAAUGUUGACCUGGAUAGGGAUGGUGAAGUCUACUUCCUUGGUCUCUUUCAAACCCAGUGGGAUCAUGGGAACGUUGACAGCCUCACUGUGGGGGAGAGAAAAAUGGGCUUAAUUUACAAAGAGAUGUGGACCAGCUCAGGUUCAAAUGUAGCAGCAGCCGGUCAGAUGGGUAACGUGGCUUUCUACUGUCAAAAUGAACACAAGUAUUGGUUUAUGUUUUGGGCUGCUCACAUAGGAGUACAAAGGAUCAGCACUUCCAUCUGUUAGUCCAACGAAUUAAGCACACCACUCGGUGCCUCAUCCUGUUAAAUGAAAAGUAUUAACCCCGCGGUAUCUCCAAAUAUUCACACAAGCACUGCACUGCACACCACAACUGAUUAGAAUCAGUCAUUUAUCCCUCUGAUAACCCCAGCUCCGAGUUCACACAUUCAUGUUGGCCUAAUUACGAUCAAGCCAUUUGAUUUUUAUCAUUCAAGUUCUUGCAGUUGAAAUAUUUGUGGCACAGCUGUAACUUAAGAUUGUUAUUCCUGAUCAGCGCCGAUACUGCAUUAUCAUCAACAAUAUAGUCAAUCAGGAUAUACUGUAUAUUCAUUCAUUCAUUCAUUCAUUCAUUCCCUACACGGCGUAAUCCUCAUUAGGGUCACGGGGGAAUGCUGGAGCCUAUCCCAGCUGACUUUGGGUGAGAGAUCUCCAGGAUCGGGAUCGGCUGCCGAUCUGCUGUAUUUUGAAGAUCGGAUAAAAUUGUGUCUGCCACAAGAUCGGCCGAUCCGGUUUCCGUUUGACGUUCGUAACCCUGGGCCACACUCCAACACGGUAGGUGUGUGGUAAUGCGCCUCAAAGCUGGUUUCCACUCAACUCCCGCCACCCACAAGAAGAAGAAAACGCAACACCACCAUGCAGACAUGCCCGCCGUGUACCGUGGUCAAGUUAGUUUCAUGUCGGACGUUGGAUAUUCGGCUUCGUAGCUACAGUGGUAGCUCUGCCUCACUGUGCCCGGACUGCUGCGUCAUGGUGCGGGGAGCUCGCACGAGAGGUGCUACUCUAACGGCUGGUGGUUUAUACUAGGGACUGACAAUAAAUUACUAUUGAAUUGAGAGUUUAAGAAAAAAAGUCAUAUUCUAAAUCACACCACAAAUUGAUCUAUAACCAUGUCAAAAGUAUUUUGCACGCCCUUUUUUUUUUCCAAUUUUAUUUUUUAUUGGAUCUUUUAUUGGAUUAGGGACCUGACUCAGGUUUGUUACAAAAGCCAAACAAUGUUGUUGGUUAUGCUGUGUAACAAAGAAGUACAUUAUUUUGAAUGCUUUGAAGAGCUAUUUUCAUAACCAUAUUCAGUUCCGUAUAUUAUAUUUAAAGAAUUCCAAUUUAUUCAGGGGGGAAAAAUAUUUUUCUGACUCUAAACAAUUUUUAAUUUUUUUUUUUUUUAGUUUACCCAGCAUCAAUGGAUUUUUUUUUCCCUAGUCCCUACUUUUACAAGUGUCUUCAUAAUUUAGCUGAAAACCUCCACAUCGAUGUUUUUUUUUCAAUUUUCUACAUAACCCUAAACAAUGGAAUUUAUUUUCAGUUAGCUUCUAAGCUAGGUGACGCUUGUGUCAUUGGUUUCAUGCUUUAUCUCGUUAUUAUUAAGGACAUGUUCAGGUCUUGAGUUUGGGUUAUAUGGCUGAAUUGCAUGUGGUCAUUAACACAAUCACCAUGUAGCAUGAGCUUGACUGUGUGUGUGUGUGUGUGUGUGUGUGUGUGUGUUUACCUAUCUGUCUGAUAGAUUUCCAUGUUACUGUUAAGGUCCUCCAGUUCUUCUUUGAGCAGUUGAAGGUUGGAGUUGACAUAGCUGAGCUCCAGAGCCACCGUCUCUUUCACUUUGUUAUUUGUUGUUGCCCUGCAAAACACAUUUCAUUCAUUUCAAAUACACGACAUUCCCGAAAAUAAUUCCAAAAUUCACUGUGCUUGUUUUUCUACGAUGGAGUAUUACAGCCAUAUUGGGAAAAAAAAAUCUUACAUUUUGAGAAUAAAGUCGUAAAUUUCAGGAAAAAUCCAUAAAUUUACAAGAAAAAAAAAAGUCAUAGUAUUACGAGAAUAAAGUCAUAUAUUUAUGAGAAUAAAGUUGUCUAUUUAAGAGAAUAUAGUUGUCUAAGAGAAUAAAGGCGUCAAUUUACGAGAAAAAGUAGUAAAUUUACGAGAAUAAAGUCGUAAAUUUGAGGGAAAAAAAAGUCUCAUUUCAAGAAUAAAGUGGUAAAUUUACGAGAACAAAGUCAAACAUUUAUCAGUCAAAUUUACAAAAAAAGUUUCAAAGUUAUGAGAAUAAAGUCAUACAUUUACGAGAAAAAAAGUUAAAUGUAAAAUUAGUUAAAAAAAAAAAAAGUUAAAAGUAAAUGUAGGAGAAUCAAGUUAAUGCUCGGUGGCAUACGUGUCACAGGGAAAAUAGAGCAUCAUUACAUUUUUCCACAACCUAAUUUUCCAAAAAUUACAACUUUUUGUUUCUCAUGACAUGUCUUGAAAUCUUUAAUAUUUCAGCUCUAUGCUACUAAAAUGCUAUUUUCCCCAUAAUAUUACAAUGUUGUUCUUGUAAAAUUACAACUUUUUUCUCAUUAGAUUACAACUUUAAUAUUUUGACUUUAUUCUUGUAAAAUUAAUGCUGAUUUUUUUCCAUUCCAUUUUUUAUAGGUUUUUUUUUUGUAGUUUUCUUGGUAAAUUAUAUUUUUAGAAUGUGCUGCGGGCCGAUAAAAAACAGCCACAGACUGCAAAUCGCCGCCAGGCCGCACUUUGGACACCCCUGUUAUCAGGCUUAAGGUAUGAACAUUCUUAGGACUUUUUCUGUCCAUUAUUUGUGUUUUUUCAUUGGGGACCCCUAUGAACAGAUAUUAUUUUACUGUUUAAUGCGUUGUCCAAUUACAGUAGUACCUCGCAUAACGUAAACCUCCUUUUACGUAAAUUCCACUGAACGUAAAGAAUUUAUGUAAAUUAUUCGCAUCGUAUUACGUAAGGAAUUCCAUAUAACGUAAAGCGUCAAGUCCAUGCAAGGGAUAGAGAGACUAACAGAGUACACUUGGUGACGCCUUCUGGCUUCACGCUCUCAUUAGCUGAUUAUCGGGGCACCGCCUACGCUCUUAUCUCAUUGGCUGACUUAUCCAGCGCGUCCAUGUUUGUGUGUGAGCUCCCUUCAUCUUAGUCGCCCUUAAACUAGUUUGCAUUCAUUGAAAUCUCUUCUUAAUUUGUUUACUUUUAUUUGUGUUAAAAUUACCGUAGUCAUGGGCUCUAAACCAAGUGUAAGUGGUAAGAAAAAAGGGAAAAGUUGUCGAUCAAAACGAAACGGGAAGUUAUGCAGAAAUUCUGACGCUUCAUGCUCUCAUUGGCUGAUUAUCGGAGCACCGCCUACGCUCUCAUCUCAUUGGCUGACUAAUCCAGCGCGUCGGUGUGUUUAUGAGAGACAUGCUGCUCUGUUCCUCAUCGUAGUCGCCCUUAAACUAGUUUGCACACAUUGAAAUCUUUUUAAUUUGUUUACUUUUCUUUGUGUUAUAAUUACCGGAGUCAUGGGCCCUAAACCAAGUGUAAGUGAGAAGAAAAAAAGGGAAAAGUUGUCGAUCGAAACAAAGCAGGAAAUGAUCCAGAAGCAUGACAGUGGUAUGAAAUGAAGUGAUGUUGCUAGACUAUACGGCCGUUCCCCAUCGACCGUUAUACCUUAUUUUGUAUUGGAAUGUUACUCUACUAUGUUUAUGCUGUUUUCUUAUAUUUUCCCACCAUAUUUGGUGGACUUUGAAUAUUUUGAAGGCCAAAGGUGUGAGUUUGGGAAGAUCUCGGAACGGAUUAGGCUAUUUACAUGUAUUUUACGCUUCGUAUAACAUGAAAUCCCUAUAACAUAAAGGUUCUUGGAACGGAUUAUUUACGUUGUAGGGGCAUCUACUGUACAUCAUCACAACUCUCAACUCGUAGACGUUAUCGGCGUAUUCAAAAUCAGGCCACAAGACCUCACCUGAAGAGGUUUUCCGCUCCGGCUCUCAUGCGCAUCUCUUUGUUUAUUUGCUGAUUGAUGCGAGCUCGCCGGUGCUGCAGUUUACUGCGUUGAGAUUGGGCAAAAGGAUCACAUCCCUGCAGAGGAGAGCACAGUACAGUCGUGUAAUCACAUACUUUUUUAGCAACAGGAACAACACGAUGGACCGGGACUUGAUGAGUGGAUUCCUCUGGGUCUUGCUGAAUGUGUUUUCCCUCUCGUCAGUUCUCACACAGUUCAAAUGUUUGUACACCAUGCAUGCAGUAAUCCUGCAAUGCGGAUUAGGGUUCUGGCCCAGCUCUCUACCUAAGUGGAACCGGCAGGAGGUCACUGGGGAAGCUACUUGACAUCUGUUCAGGUACAGUCCAAAAAGCCAAAGUUAUGCUGUACACCUCCCAGAACCACUGUGGCCAAACAACUUCAAUUUUCAAUGAAGGUGUGGAGUCCCUGAUGAUGCAUAGAUGGGUUAAGACCAUGGUGAUGUCAACGUGUGUUCCAGGUCACCAAAAACUGGCAACAGUUUGUACAUAGUUAUAUAUUCAUCCGUAUACAUACUAUGAACAUUUUUCUUUGGUAGAUGUAUUUAAUUACAUAUACUGUAAAUGUAUGCAUGUAAUGUAGGAAGAAUACAUAUUCUAUUUACUAAAUGUAUUUUGUGUCUUGCCUUUCUGAUGCUUCCAUUGUCACUGCUGUCUUCUCCUGGACGCAAAUCCUCGUCUGACGUGUGAAGUUCUCUGCAACAUCAUAAUUUUCAGUAACGAACUACUACAAAACUUAAGCACUGUACAAUUAAGUUAUCCAAACAAAGUACUUCGAAAUAAUAGUACGUAAUGCAGUUAAUAAGCGGCACUUACCUUGUCGCAGGUUCCUCCAUCGUGAAGCAACAACACCGAUGAGCAAACGCUCACUACAUUUCCUCAUCCAUUUUACAACUUUUACCCGGUGAACAAAGUUGUAACUCGUCGUAAAAGACGCGAAGAAAAGUUUUAGAAGCAAACAUUUCUUUGUAAACAUUCACUUUUCUUACUCGCUUCUGUCCAACUUCACUACAAGCUCAAGGUCUUUAUUCACGAAGGCGGGUCGUACAUGCCACUGGCCAAUCAGCGUAAAGCUUUUACGAACGACAACACUUCGAGCGAAUUGGAUUGAGGAUAAAUACUAUAGAUGACAUAUAGCUAACCAAUCAGAAAUUGCCCGAGGCGUCCCCCUACCCUCCUCGCGGGCCGUUGUUAUGGCAACAUCAGGGUUUAGGCUUAUCUGUUGCCCGGAAGUCAAAGCAUAGUAUUUUUUGUUAGACUGGACACUGGACUAGUACAAAGAGUCUUUUAAUGUGGCUCCAGCAGACAGCCGAAAACACAAAACCAACCAAUUACAAAAUAAACAGAAACCGCAAACUAAGAGCGAAUGUGCAAGUAAAGAUAACUUUAAAAAAAAGCAGCAGCAAAAGGUUCCGCUAAUCAGAAAAAUAGCUGAAGUGGACAGCUAGGAACAAACAGGGAGUCUCCUAUGUAACAAAUGAGUCGAAAACAUGAAUCACACCAUGACGGUGCAAGGAAACUUGGCCGUAGAAAAAAACAGGGCGACGUGAAAGGAGGAGAAAGGGCAACAAAAAUUUUCUGUAAGACCUCAAGUAACUUGAGCAGUGAAGAGGUUUACUGAGAAAACAAACUGGAUUCGAGUCCCAGCUGCAGUCAAUCAGCGGACGUAGGACCCAUGCGCUAAUCAACAGCAGGUGUGGCCAGUUGUCCCGCCUCUAACCGGAAGUCAGGCUGUUGGGCAGGAAGCACAAAACUGAACGAGGAAGCGGCUACAAAAUAAGACACAGGAAGUGGACACGUGGAACGUGACAGACGUGUUAGACUGCUUUCAAAUCAAACAUCUAUUUAAAGCCUUAAUCAUCUUAGCAGAAGCACAGAAGCUAAUAAAAAAUACAUUUACUUUCCCCCCUUAUUUUAUACACAAAAUAAAAAAGAAAACGCUUUUGGACCCCCUCAAAAAUGGGGUAAUUAAAAUAGUAUACAUUUGUAUCACACGUCAAUAUAAUGACACCAAAAAAAUACAAUAAAACUGUACAAAAAUGAUACAAUUCCUUUAAAAAUCCUUACGUUAAAAUGAUGCAAAGGGUACAUAAUUGGACUUGUCGUGUCACUGAUUAAAAAAAAAAAAAAAAAAAGUUAAAACCGAAGAGUAUGCAUGUUCAUUUCUUCUGUUGGAUGAAAUUCAGGUUUAGCGGGUGUCGAACGUGGGGAACCAUGUGCAGGUUUGGAUUGGGAUGCGCCAUGGAACCUGAAGAGAGAUGGGGGAGGGGGUUGUGAUAUGAAAGUGGGUCAUUCAUAUUUACAAAUCUCCAUAAAUGCACACGAAUAGCACAUUUAUGCUGCAAUUGACAUUUUUUAUAAUUCCAUACAUUUUUUAUUGUAUUUUCACAGUCUUUUAUUUUUGAUGUGUACUGCAUGUGUUGUUGCUGCUCCUGGAACCUUCAGUUCCCUGAGUUCCCUGAGCACACACACCCGGGGGAUGAAGAACAGGCUGUGAAAUCUAGGAGUUUGAGUCAAUUUCACUUAGCUCAGCAUUUCAAAAUGCAAAAUAAUACAUAUUUUUGCUUUUUAGGGCAAUAAAAGCGGUGGUGCAAACAGAACUGAUGUGCGCAGUGAUGUCGCUUACCUGGUUGGUAGCGACCGUUGCCCUGCUGGAUGAAAUUCUGGGGCAUUCGGUAUGACCAGGAAGGAGACAGCGUGUACUGGGGUGUUUUAUUGUGCUCCCAUAGGUGAGAACCUUGGUUCACGCUCACAAACUGGGUUGGGUGGGCUAAUUCUACAAAGAGAAAAAUCAAAAUGUAGAUGAAAAAAUUACAAUUUAAAUAUUAUGUAAUUACGACAGAGUAUUAGGGCCAUGUUGAGGAAAAAAAAUUGGAGAUUUCGAGAAUCGUCGUAAAUUUACAACGUUAUUCUCGUAAUAUGACUAUUUUUUUCUUGGAAAUUUACGACUUUAUUCUCGUAAAUGUAUUACUUCUCGUAAUAUUACGAGUUUUUUCUUGUAAAUGUACAACUUGAUUGUCAUAAAUUUACAGCUUUACUCUCACAAGUUUUUUUUCUCGUUAACUUACUACGUUAUUCUCGUAAUAUUACGAGUCUGGUGGAUUUACGACUGAAUCGUAGUAUUUUUAUUGUUGAAUCAUAAAACUGUCGUUAUAGUAACAUCUGGCGUCAAAAACAAACAAAAAAAGACUUCAGGAAGCUCCAGAAUGACACCAGAAACCAUAAAAUGUGAGCCAAGUUCACCCAGUGAAUACCUGACUUGACUACAGUGCCGUUGCCCAGAAUCGACCCAGAUUGUGCCAAGUGGUUGAGCCAGUGUCCUUCACGUCCCGGCCCACCCAUGCCCAGCGGCAGCCCAGCCGGCUGAGCGAAAAUGAUACUGGGGUCGUUUAGGUUCACUGGGUUGGCGCUGCCCCCGGAGCUCGUGGCGCUUCCCGAUGCCGAGUGAAGAGCGAAUUUCAAGCCGGGUGGCGAGGGGGCGGUUGGCGUAGAUGUGCUAAGGACGGGUCCGUGGAUGGGCCAGGAGGUGGACGGGAUGUUGGCCGAGUGAUGAGAUUGGGACUGGUGCUGGUGGGAGGGCAGAGGCCCCAGUGCCGCGAGCGUCCCGAGGUGAUACUGGCCCGGGUGCGAUGAUGGGAAGGUGAAAAGGGAGAGCGGGACCUGCGGGUGAGCAGCUUGCUUCUGAGGGCUGGAAGACAUGGGUUUAUUCUGGGAGGGCUGGGGGGAACUUUGGGACACAGCAGUGGGCUGCGGAGAAUAGGGCGGAGUCUGGCGACUGUUUGACUAGGGAGGAAAAAAGAAAGAAUCACACGUCACUUCUACCAAGAAUAAACCAUCAGAGAUCUGUCCAAAAAAUACAAUUAUUUCAUUAUUAUUAGAUAUAUGAUUAGAUAUGGGGCCGCACGGUGGUCUAGUGGUUGGCAUGUUGGCCACACAGUCACAGUCUGGAGAUCGGGAAGACCUAGGUCGAUUCCCCCCUGGGCAUUUCUGUGUGGAGUUUGCAUGUUCUGCCCAUGCGUGGGUUUUCUCCGUUUCCUCCCACAUUCAAAAAAAAUGCGUGUUAGGUUAAUUGGCGACUCUAAUAGGUAUGAAUGUGAGUGUGAAUGGUUGUUUGUCUAUAUGUGCCCUGCGAUUGGCUGGCGACCAGUCCAGGGUGUACGCCCGAAGUCAGCAUGCCCCCGCGACCCUAAUGAGGAGAAGCGGCAUAGAAAAUGGAUGGAUGGAAAGCCAAAAUAUUAAGAUAAAAGCUGUAAUCUAACAAGAAAAAGUUGUAAUUUUAAAGUUGUAAAAAUAACAUUUUAGUAGGGUGGUAUUCAAGCAGCAGUGGAAUAUUUCCAGGACGUGUACUGGUUUGUAUUGUGGAUGAACCACGUCCAGUGUAGUGGUUGUCGGUACUUACGCUGUCUGAGGGUAGCCUGGCCCUUCCGGGACAUUCUGGUGUGACCUGCGGUGUCGGGAUGGACUGAGAGCUCACUGUCGAGCGUACCAUGUGGGGAGCUGAGGAGGAACAAGAGCGCAGAAUAGCAGUUCAAGUGUCUGCCUGUGAGGUAGUGAGUUUUAACCCUGAGGUAUGUUCACGGCUACCUGGCGCCCCAGCAGUCCUGUGCUUCAGAUGGCGGUACUCAGGACAGUCCCUCCUUACGUGACCAGUGUCCCCACACUGAAAACAACGCCGGUCUUUUUGCUCUCGCUCCUCUUCUUUCACGUCCUCGUCUUUGUCAUUUUCUUUCUUUUUCAUUCUGAUGAAAAAAAGAAGACACAUCUCUGUAUGAACUCUUCUCAAGCACUGCCAAUUUCUAGUUGGCGAUCGUGAUGAGACUGCUGUUGAAAGUGAUUUGCUAGAGAGCAGUACCAACCUGCGUCUCUUGGGACAAUCCUUCAUGUAAUGCCCAAUCUUUCCACAGAUCCUGCAGCACCGGUCGUUCGGGGCCAACUCACCAUCCGUUAGAACGUUUGGGUCAAAGAAAUAGUCCUGCGUCAGAUUGCGACCAAGACAUUUGAAACUCACCAACACACUGAACUGCCAUCAGCACUGGAAUCUGUCAGCCACUUGAAAACCAACGUUUGCACGUACCACUUCAGUGCCGGGGAUUGGGUAGAAUGGGUUUCCAAACAGGUUUCUCCCGUUUAUAAACGCCUUCAUGAUGAAGUUUGUCACUGCGGGAGGAGAGAACGUGUUCAAGUGUUAAAAGUAGGGCUGGCAAAAAUAGCGUGGUAACGGCGGUAACUAAUUUAUUUCAUUAAUUACGUUAACUUUUUUUGUGUGAUUAAGGCAAACGCAUCACAGCAAGCCACGCCUCUCCCUUACGACGAGAGACGGCGGCGCACUGUAGCCUGUAGUCUGACGAUCCUUUGUAACUUUAUUCUGACCCAAACACAUCAACAGCAGUGCAAUUCUAUCUCCAACGCACAAACGCGUCUCUAGUUCGUUCAGACGCUCGUUUGUAACUCUUAAUGCGCAGGUAGAAUUUGCUGCAUUUUAGUAUGCUCGGAAAUCCCAGACAAUAAACUCAUAUGAAGUAAACUUAAAUGGCGUGGCGUCUUUGAACGCACCUCCUCAUUGCUCAUAAUGACACGUUUAAAGUGUGAGUCAAAUGUUCUGCUAUUAAAGAAACUACUGUAAGGUAAAGAGAUUUUCAGACAUUUUAACUUGAUUGAAAUUUUCAGUUCAAUUGGAGAUGUUAAUACAUACAAAUAUAUUUAUAUAUAUACAGUGUUCCCUCGUUUAUCGCGGGGGUUAGGUUCCAAAAACAACCCGCAAUGGGCGAAAUCCGUGACGCAGUCAACUUUAUUUGUUUACAACGAUGAUAUGUGCUUUAAGGCUGUAAAACCCCCCCACCAUACACUCGAUACACUUUUCUCACACGUGUUUCACAGUUCCUCUGACCGCGCCUCUUUGUGCUGGCGCCCCUCCGCUGUAGCGUUUUUGCGUCCUCGUUGAAACACAUUGAUGCUGCUGUCGUCCUUUUUGGUCCAUUUUCCUCCUCCUUUGUGUAACGAACCCAAAAUUCAUUCAUUCCGUCAUGGCGCCCUGCAGCCGCGCAACUUCUACCUUACCUCGGCAUGUGCAGAAGUCUGACUUUUUGUGCGAUGGUUAGCACCUUCCUCUGUCUGCCUUUUGGGUGCAGUCGACAUUGCGGGUUUUGUCGGAAGAGAAAACGUGCAAACAUGCAGAGUUCAGAGUCACACUGCAUGGAGGAGAUUGAUUGACAAUGGUCCCUUAGCCAACCAGGGCGCAGAACACAAUGCAUGUUCACAUGUUGUAAAAAAAAAAAAAAAAAAAGGAAAAAAAUGGCGUAUUUCAGACAUAGUUGCAAAUGGUGAUUAAUCAUGAUUAAUUAAUUUGAAAACUGAUUAAUCUGAUUAACAUUUGUAAAAAUUUGCCAACCCCAUGUAAAAAGGGAAGGCAGCAAUAAAUGUGGAUGAGUAAAUGAUCUUUGAGGCUAAUCUGGUAGCACACUGCACGACACUGAGAAAAAAUGUCAAUUACCAUCUUCUUGCUUAUGGACAAUUUAUUUCAUGACGACGAUGACGAUUAUCAUUAUUAUUAUUUCACUCUUCAUUGUUUUGUUCUGCUUUAGAUAAACUUCCGAUCAUCUUUCCGACAUUCUUCAUGGAACGUCCCAGAAGGACAAUUGACCGUUUUAUAGAAAUGAAUGGACUGAAAAAGAAUCCAUCAGGUAAAAAAGAUGGCACGCUCACUCGCUCAACAGUACAUUCAUGUACGCAGUAAAAGAUGGGUAACAAAUAAAACCAAUUGAUAAUGUGAUCGCUCCUCCCACAAGCUGAUGCAUGCAGACCUGCCGACCAUGAAGGAAUUUUAAGAGUACUCCCCCCAACUGACAAAUUUUAUAUUAAAAAAAAAAAAAAAAUUCAUAAAAAUUUUGACACAUUUAAAGACAAAGCUUUGUGUUUUAUUAGCUGCUAAUAUGAACAUUUCCGCUCUUUUCUCAUUUUCUGAUGUAUUUUUCCCUACAUUUCCCCAUUUUUUUCCAAGUUUAAUUCCAUUUCUCACUGACACGUGAGCCGCAAGCCGCACAUGGCCCCUGGCCCGCACGUUGGACACCCCCUGCUUUUCAUCACGGUUGAGCGCGUGACGUCAAUUCUGCGAGCCAACCACGACUCUCGUCAACCGUUUAGCUUGUUCGCUUCCCGUUGCGAGCGAACGAUGGCAAUUAAAGAGAGAAGGGGAGCGUUACUGCAGCUGGAACUAAUCGAUGUGUUACCGCCGUCAUUUUUAAAGGCAAAUGUUGAUCCGAAAUCAGAAGAAAAGGCAUUCGAAGCUCUGAAUAUACUGAAAACUGAAACUGACAAAUGUGCACCUGGAGAAUAUUCAAGUCAAAACAUUCAAGUGUGAAAAUGUGUCUGUUGUGAAAAGUGGCUACAUGUUGGCAAGUCUGUGAAUGAUAGAGGCUCACCAGCCAACUUGCACUGGUUGGCGAGGCUGUCUGGGGGACAGAGAGAGCGAGGAGGAAGUGUCGGCUGUCAUGCUAACGACAGUGGACAGUGCGGUGUGAGUCCUUGAGCAAAAUGGCAGCCUUUGUUUGUGAUGCAGCAGGGACAGAAAUAAGGUCAUCCUCGUGAACUCAUCUCGAAGUUAUGUUUGCGGAAAAAGACUUACUUUUGCGUGAAACUCCGGCACCGAGAUUAUGAUUCAAAUCAAAAGGAUCUGAAAAGAAGAAAACACAAGCAGGGCUGCAUUAUGACCUGUUAAAAGAGCUAAAGAAGCGCGUUCGAGCCAGCACCUUCAAUAGCGAUGCAUUUGCUCGUCCACUGUUUUUCAAAGGUGGUGAGGCGUUUCUUUUGUCGGAUGCUGAUGACGUGCUCCUUAAAGUCAAACUCUUCUGUGUAGAAGCGCAGGAGGCCCAGCCACAGCUCCCCCACAGACUCUGUGUUGGGCUCCAGCUCUGACAGACGCUGACGCUGCGUGGACAGACGUAAGAAGAAAAAAAAGAAAAGUCAGAUUGAAAAAUAAUUGCAUACAAGAUAUCAAGUUCAAGUAUGAUUUCUCUCACCAAAUCAUCAAGGUCGUCAAAAAAGAAGGCAUUCCAGCCAUCCACAAUUCGCUGGGGAACGCGUGGCCCAUCAAAAAUCUAAAGGAGACAUCAAAUAAAUAUUCCCACUGUUAUCUUAUGCUUCCCUACAUCCCUCCCCAGGUUGUGAUACAAAGGUCCAUCAUCUGGUUUUAAUGGUGCCCCUGCAUGCACAUGGUAGUGAGUACCUCCUGCAGGACUGGGAUGACUGGAGGCUGUCUCUGCUGCAGAAAGUAAAGCACCAUCAGGAUGUAUGCAUAAGAUGAGAGGCUUCCUCUGGACGCAUCCCCAAUGUCACAGCGCUGUGAGCAUAAAGUCCAGUUAUUAGGCGAGGCGCUGAUAUACAAAACAGAUCUGAUAUCAUUUGUAAUUAGGGGUGCUCUGUUCAAUCUGCCACCGAUCAGUAACGGCCGAUUUCCGUGCCGAUCAUCUCUGCCCCCAUGGCAGCAUCCAGCCUAUAGCGACCGUCUUCCCGCCCACUUUCCCUUCACAAAGCCAAAACAAGCAUGUCUGCCGUGUGGGACUUCCUGUCAUUGUGAGAGAGCGCCACGGAAAAUGUCUCGGACGGGUGGCAAGGCAUUUGCGGGGGCGGGCACAUGGCGGAGUGUGGCGAGUGUUCAAGGCUCACCAUGUGAUCAUCAGCCGGGUGGCAGCUAAUGUAGCCGUGUGUGCGCGUUUGCCUGGCGGUCCUGCUGGGGCGCCAUCAAGAUGCUCUUGCAUCCAAAUUGUCCUUAAAGAAGGCGUCUGAUCCUCUAAGCUUCACCGGUGAUUUCGAAAAAGUAAGUCAAAUAUGUUUUGUCAUGGUUCCCAUUUCAUAUCACAUAGCCCAUGGAUCACUGACAUGGUGCUCGCGGGCACCGGGGAGCCACCCGCAACCACACGAGGCGCCUGCAAGCCUGCUUUUCAUUCAGGUUUUCAGUUAACAAUUAACAGUUAACGUGCUGUUUUCCCCUACCUUUGCAAAGACCUUCAUCAUGUAUCCAAGGAACUGCACGCGUGGAUCCAGGGCUGCAUACAGAGCCAGCAUUCUGGUGUUAUGUUGAGCCUACCACAGAUUAUUAUUGACACAAAUUCAUUUCAGGCUUAAAUAAAUGAGUUUCUCCAUAAAUAACAGAAUGAAUUUGGCCUCUUGUCGCUUACUAAGGUGUUGUAGAGGCUGAUGUCUCCCUCCAAACCACUCUGUCUGUGUUCAAACUUCACUAUAGGCACUUUUGCUGUUGUAAUUGGCAAGAUGUUGCGCAGACCUUAUAUAUUGGGAGAGAAUCGGAGAUUACAUGAAGUCGGAUUCACCGCAUUACAAUCGUUACGUGUCUACCUACCUGUAUGCUUCUUUAGCACUUUAGCAAGGCCUUCGAUGAUCUCCUUGCAGUUCAGCUUCUGUACAAACAAUAACAAUUCAGUGGGAAUAUAAAACAUUCACAUCUCCAAAUGACACUAACGCCUCCUUUUGCUCCCUGAUUGUGUAAGCGUGCCCACCUCCGCCGUCUCAUGACCCUCAAGAGUCAUGCAAAUGUCAAGGUCACUGUCAUGGAAACCAAAGCCAUUCUUGGAGGAUCCAAACAAGCACAACUGAGCUUUAUCUGCAGAUUCACACGCAAGAGAAGAAACAACACAUGCCUCAGUAGGGUUCUACACACUUUGACAAACUCCUCUUACGGCGUUUACCCAAAUUGGAAUCAGGGAUAGUAGACAGAUGAUCGAGGAUAAAUUGUGAAGGAUUUUAGCCUACCACAUACGGGUUUUUUUUUUUUUUUACGCCAUGCUAUCAACUCACUCUCUCUUUAUGAUCUACCGGUAAAUUGUGCUCGACAUAUUGGGCACCCUUGAUGUAGUGUGUAUAUAUAUAUAUAUAUAUAUAUAUAAGAAUAGUAUGUAUGUAGUAGUAGUAGUAGUAGUACUUUAUUAAUCCCACAGCAGGGAAAUUCACCUGUUACAGCAGCAAGCAAGAUACACAAGUAAAGAAUGCAUAGUGACAUAGUGAAUACAAAAUGGUUCAGGUGUUGUAGAGCCUGAUAGCGGUCGGUAUGAAGGACCUGCGGAACCUCUCCUUCUUACACCGUGGGUGUAACAGUAUGUACUGCAUCUGUUCGUCCAUCCCCACAUCAUGAAAGAGGCUGGUGAGCAUGACUGGUUUUGUUGUAUGAAGGAAGUCCUGUUGAACACUCACCAUUGUACUCCUUCCUUAUGAACCUUUCCAAACUCGCCAGGAUCUGCUCCCUCUUCUGUUGCUCAGCAUGUGUAGGAGCGAGUUCAUCUUGAAUACAACAGAACGUAUACAGAGAUCUUUAUAAUGGGUGGGUGUCAUCCUACAAGUUCUUAUUUAGGCAACAAUACUCUUCUUUUUUUUUUUUUCCAUCAUUCAUUUUCUACUGUCUUUUGUGUGCUGUAGUCGAUUACAGCUGGCUGUGGGUCAAAGGUACAUUUAACACAAUUAAACAGGAAAAACAACAGCAAACAUGGAAGAAAAGAGCAGUCAUUUGACGAGAACAGUCAAAUAUUAGGUGAAUAAAAUAAUAUUCAGUAAAAAGGUGGUCAUCUUUCAAAAAGUCAUAAUUUUACAACAAUAAAGUCACAAUAUUAUUAGGAAACACAUUUUAGAAGCAUAAAGUUGAAAUAUUUAGAAAUUUAAAGGAAAAAAAAAGGUCAAAAUAUUGUGAGAAACAAAAAGACUACCGAUGCACCUUUUGGGAAAAAAAAAUUAAAAUUAUGACAAUAAAAUCUAAAUAUUUUGGGAUAAAUAUGAGAAAAAAGAAUCACAAGAAUAUAGUUGAAAUAUUUGUCAAAAAUGACCAAAAAAAGGAAAAAGUUUCAUAUUAAUAAUACACUUUGUCACCGAUAACACAACGCUUCGGACGUAGCGUUAACGUGUAUAACAAGGGUUGGUUUACAAAACGUAGAAUAUCAAAGCGGCCCCCGCAUCCUUUGAUUUUCAGUAUGCGGCCCUCAGUGGAAACCGUUCGGGCACCCUUGGUCCAUUGCAUCAGAGAGACACAGAAUGUAAAAAGUAACAUGAAAUAAAGGCUAUUAAGUCAUUUGAAUUUAAUUGAGGAAAAUAAGUACAAGGAAUAGCAUAGUCUGACCUAUGUUGAAAUCUUAUGUGCUUUAACAAAAGCAUAAAAUGAAUGCGAACAAAACUAAAGCUGAAACUGAAAUAGCAGAAUGUUGACGUUUAUAUUUUUUUUAGCCAGGAGGGGGCGCCAUUGGGAUGUCAUUUGUUGCUGAGGCCCUAAUAAUAAGUAAAAUGAAUGUUAAUGAUAGUAAACAUUGAGAAUACAUACAGUGACACAGUUUGCAGAGUCCAUCGAGGAUCUCUCUGAAACGGUCGUUCAUCGGCGGCAGUGUCGUCAACUCGAUCUUCUUAAAGUCUUCCGGACACUCAUCCUUCAGGUGACCAUCUCGUUUGCAAAUGCUGCACACGACAUUCGGAGGCUGAAAAGACAAAAUGCCCCAAAUGGAGGACACUUGGCCAAAUAAAACUAACUAAAAAGAACGCUGCAAUUCUGCCAGGUUCAUCAUAUCAAAAUAUCAAAAUGGACUUUUAGGUGAACGUGGUCCACUUUUCUUACCUUCCCGCCGGUGAAAAUCAUCUUAUCGAAGACAUAGUGAAGAUCUUCUGACGAUAUGAUCCCAUCUUUUUCGGAAACACCCUUCUCUUCAUUAUUACCCUCUUCUUCUUCGUCACUGUCCAACACACCGUUGGCAGAAAGCGACGUGAUUGACUGGUGUUCAGAAGGUUUGUCCCCUUCACUGAGGACCAUGUCCAUGAGGCUGCUGUCCAGCGUCUUCUCAUCUUUAUUGUCACUCUCAUGCUGGUCGUCAUCCUUCGACCCCUGCAGCGGUGUCCGACUAGCUCCGUCGAGUUCCAUCAAGUUAUUCUUCAUCUUCUUCAAACAUGCGGCCUCCUUCUUCUCUCCCGGGUACAACUUGGACCCCUGCUUGGCGGGCGUCUUGCUUUUCUGUUGCUCUACCGUGCCUUUUCUCUGCGGGCAGGCGAAGUACUUGUAAGCUGUCCGGAAGCGCUCCUGUAUGUACUCAAACACCAUUUGACUGUUCAAGCUCCGUGCAACAUUCCUCUUCAAAGCAAAGGGAUCUUUGUGAGAGAGACAGAAACUCACAGUCACGUUUUGCAUUUCACCAGAGCGUUAUGAGGAUCAGCACACCGAGAGCAUGGACUUUGGCGGGUACCUUCUAUUGCAAGCCUGCGACGAGGCCAGUUCUUCAUUUCCCGAGAGAGAAGCUCUUUCAGUCGGAUGCUGAUGAUGUAUUCUUCCAGUGCAAACUCCAGCGUGUAGAAGCGCAGCAGUUCAAACCACAACUGUCCCAGUGACACAUCUUUGCACAGUUCAAAAGCGAGCUGGGCCUUGAAAGGGAUCAAUGUACAAAUUAGUAAAAAAAAAAAAAAAAAAAAAAAAAGCUUGUCAAAAGCUUGUCAAAAUCCAUGGAACAACCUGAACUGGCAUAAUUACAUUCUACUUAA